rnacentral:snoRNA from 15 species
AAUGGAAUCUGUAGGAACCAUGUGGGCAAAUGAAAAAUACCUUUGUCCUCAAAAUGCAGUGAUCCUACAGAAAUGUGGAGGGCUCUGUUUUUCUUAGGACAGCUGACUAAGGCUUGAUCAUUCCCUCCCAUAUAGC